rnacentral:tRNA from 1 species
GGACCGUUAGCUCAGCGGUGAGAGCGCCCGGCUCAUAACCGGGUGGCCCGGGGUUCGAAUCCCUGACGGUCCA